CCUCCCGCCAGUCAGUGUGGUAUUGAUCACCACCGGAGGAGGAGGCGAGGACCUGCGCUCCCUCUCCUCGGACUCGACAUCCGCGCUACGCCCGCGUCUCCCAGAGAUCACACACCGACGGAUGCUGCAGAACCAUGGUGGCCGUGCGGUUCCACGGGCGGCGGCUGGCCAUGGGCGCCGUCCUGGCUGUGGCAACGCUGGGCGUGUACCACCUCUGCACCAUCAACUCUCUUCAGGACCAACGCGACAGGGUGCUGGCUUAGAAAUGGCUUGCUCGUAGAGUGUUCUACGGUGAACCAGCCCAACGCAAGUCCGGCUCAUCUCGCCUGCCAGCAUCCGGUUCUAGAUGUCAAAAAUCCCGAGAUUUACCGGUUCUUCCAUCACAUCGAUCCAGUAGAGUGCGGAGAAGAACCGAAGGGUGUGACGGUAAAAG